AUGGGGCAGCAGCCCCAGGCCUCGAGGAGGGACCGGCUGAGGUGCUGUGCCUCACAGGCUGUCCUGGGGCAUCCUGGUGAAAGAGCACAGAGCCUGCUGGAAUCAGUGUGUUCAGCAUUGCCGGAGCAGAGCGUGUGCAGGGAGCGGAGACAGGCAGCAGAGGAUCUGCGGAAAGUGUUUCUUUGGAUGCCUUCUGUAGUGUGUAUGAAGGGCAGGUUGAUUGAUCUCAGGUGGGUCGGUUCCCUUCCUCUUUCAGAACAGGUAAGGCUUACCUUGAUUAUUUUCCAGGCAUGUGGCUUUGGCUCAUUCCUCUUUUUCCUCGUGGGUAUUUUUAUUGAGAGCCCUGUUGUCAGUGGUGAUCAUGUGAUGAUUCCUCAUUGUUCUGGAAUCAAGAAUAUUUUGUCCUCUGACUGGAGUGCCUUUGUCUGCUCAAAUUUUCUUCCACUUCAAAUGCUCAUUUCCUUUUCUGUGCCCUUUUUUCCUUGUAUUGUCAACACGACAUUGACACAGCUUCCAUAUUCUUCUUCAUGCCAAAAACAGUAUCAAAUAUGUUCUUUCUACUGAGCUCUAAUACAUUUCUCAAUGUGUUUAUUCGUUCAGCUUGGUCAGGAACCCUGCUGUUCUAAUUUCCUCACCUUGCUUGGUGAUUCCAGGUGUUGUUCAAUUAUGAUGUAUUCUCAAAGUCUUUUCUGCAGUACUUCCCUGAGCUCUUUGCUCUUGUUGGUUUUAUAACUGAUAUGCCAAAGAUCUGCUCUUUACAAAUAAAAUUUUCUAAAAAAAGAAAAAUAAAAAAACAAAAAAAGAUUUCAUUACAGAGCUGUUUGCCUUUUAUCCUUCUGUUGGAUGUAAACUGGACCUGCUUAAGAUAUUUAGUCCAAAGUUAUAGAUUCUGGGCAGUAAUUCAUCUCAAUAGGCAAGGUGCUGAUGGACCUGAGCACAGUUUAAAUGCAAGAAAAGCAAACAAAAUGUGAGAGAUGUGAUUUCUAUGGGUGGGUGAGACACUGAUCUGAGGAGGAGAUGCCUCCCUGUCGGCUGUGGAAUCACACUUGCAUGAGAAAAUUUUGUCCCCAGGCUUGUGGAAGCCCUUAAAAUCCAGCUGGAAAUAGGAAGGCUCACUUAUCUGCUACCUUUGCUGCUUUGUGCAGAGUCCUGAUAGGGGCAAAGAGCUCCUGGCAGUCUGGUCUGUAGGUCCAAAUGAGCCAGAAGGUUACAGCAUUCCAGAGCUGUGCAAAAGGCUGCAGGAUAAGGCUUGAAGGAGCUGAGAGAACUGGUCUGGCAGGGGGUGAAAUCCAUAGCAAUGAUGAGCUAUCAGUUACAGCUGUGCUGGUAACUAGCCUUAGCAGGGAUUUGUCAUGUUGUCUGAUGAGCAGGUUCCCUGCGUGCCCCAGCAUUCAUCUGAAAGUUGGUUAGUCUCCAAAGUGAAAGUAACAGGCUGUCAAAAUGGCUCUGGUCCCUGAUUCUGCUCCAGUUUUAUCUCUUGAUGAAGAUUAUUUUAGUGUUCAUUUUCUGAAAGAAGUGGGGCAAAGCCAGGGCACGCCUGUUAAGAGGAGAGCAAGAGCAGGUCUGGCCAUAAACUCUUUCUUUCCCCAUCACCGUUGUGUUGUAGCCUCAGAAAUACACAGAUAAUGUUUUUUCUAUAUCCAUCUGACACAUGCAAAUAUUCCUUGCUGGACAGGACUGCUGGUGGUUCAGCAGUAGUGACAGUCAUGUUGCAGGGAUUUUUUUCCCGUGAUGUUCAUGUCAAGAAACUGCAGUGGAGGUCAGGCUCAGUGCUUAGUACUGACUCUUGGCAAGUGAUGGGAAACGAGCACUCCCACCAAGCCAUCCCUCUGAUCCAGCACGAGAUAUCUCUGGAAGCAGAGACUGAGCAUCACUGCCCUUUUGCACUCUGUGGGAUGGUGGCACAGGUAUCACAGAGUGGUGGGAGCUCACAGGUCUUUCUGGCAUGAGGGGAUUUUCUCCUCUGCAAAUUACAGGAAAGAAAAAAAUCAGAGCCUAUAGGGAAGAUCUUGGCAGAUAUGCAGCAGAUUUUUGCCCGAUACUUCCCUGAGACCUGCCAUCACCUCAGGCUAGCAUGUACUCUGUUCUUGGGGGAGGAAUGGAACACGUGGACAAGAGGUGGGUGCUGGGCUGGGAGAGUCUGCCUUCUGGUUGGUUCUCAAUUGUGCAAGAGACUCCCCUGUGCAUAGGAGCAUUCCUACAUACUGGUACCAGUUAAAACAAACAGUAGCAGGAUUUUUAAUUUUAUUUAUACAUUUAUUUUGCAAGAAUUCAAGUUACCAUGUGAUGUUUGAGCUAAUGAGUUGCUCAACCAUGAUGCAAUCAACCCUGAAGAAAAACUCUUUUGCUUCUAAAUGUUGUCUAACACAGAUUGUCAUCAAUUUGGUCAUUUCUCCACUUCCUUUGGCCCUCAUGGAAUGGGCUCUUCAGAUGCUGCUCUUGAAGGGAGCUAGGAGUCUGUUCUUCCUACAUAGUUAGACUAACUGUAUCAGUUUGUUUUAACUGCUUCUUGUUUAUCAAGGCCCCUUCUUUUGGUCUCUCUGGGUUCCCAUGGCAAAGACCAGGGACUUGCCACAUGUUUUCUGUGGAGCUCAAAUAGUGUAGCUGUCCUCACAGAUGUCCUUCUCUGCGGUGGCCCAUCUGGACCACUGUUAGUGCAAUUUGCUGUUCUUAGUAGUGAGACUUUUUCCAGCGCCUGCUUGCAGUUUUUUUCCCUGUAGACCAAUCCUAGGAUCUUUCCCAAGUGGUAGAGCCAGAAUCCUCCUAUGCAAAGAUCCCAUGGAGCUGUAAAUUUCUGGUCCCAAAGCACUGCUAGCAGGCGCUGAGCAUCUUCCCUGGCUUUGCCUAGUUCCUUCUCAUGAUGUGUGGUUGGAGUGACACAUCUACCCUGAGGUUUGGCUUGCUGUGGCUGUCCUUCACCACUUGUUAGCAUGUGAAUAGCUGUAGUCACUUUUAAGGGGUAUAUUUUGCCUGAAUGUUACUUAUCUUGAGCAGUGACUGUAGCUUGACCCUUCAGAAGGACAGCAAAUGGAUUUCAGCAUGCAUCUGCACUCUGCCAUUUUCUGUAGCCAGCAAACUGUUCUCUCAUCUACCUUCAGUGGCAUCUUACUUAACCAACUGCUAAGAUUCAUCCUCCAGCUGCAGGUCUUGGUGUUUGAAAUGACCACUGAGGAGAGCAUCUUCCUCACCCAGAUGUCUCCUCUGUCCCUCAGUUCCGUGUUGUUUGCCUCAUUUUCAUUUCUGCAAACACUUGCUAUUUAUAAUUACUGUGUUAUAACGUACUCUGAAGGUGGUGAUUACUUCUUGUUACUGUAAGCCUGACAACCUUCUUGUUCCCAUUUGCUUUCCUUCUUUGUUUCCUUGCUUCCCUGCCUUUCAGUGAGGACUGGGGGAGAAGAAAGGCGAGACUUCACAAACACAGAGACCUUGCAUUCCUUGAAAUAUCAGCUCUCAGUACAGUAGAGCUAGACAGUUUGUGCACAAUAGCAGAGAAGGGAGGAGGGAACUGUAAGAAACAGCUAUGUCCCAGCUGACUAGCAGUGGACAUGAGGGUAGUUAAGACACAAAGGUGGCAACACUCAUGGCAUGUUGUUCAGCGUGCUUUUCACCAUAUCUUAUUGAGACAGUGAUAGUUGUCAGUAAUACACUGAGUUAUCUAUUCUCUGUACUUCUGCUGGUGACUGCACAAUCUUUGCAGACCCUAAGGAAAGCAUCUAUCUUUGUAACUGACCCCUACCAGGCUUUGUGCUACUGACACGAUUCGGUACUGCAGGGUGGAGAAAUACUUUCAUAUGAAGCAAUGUAUUUGUACUUGUCCUGGAGUUGCAGAAAGGUGAUUUCCCUCUUUAAAAGAGGAUAUUCCACAGACAGUAUUUUGAUCUCCUACAUUGCUGUGUGUUUUCCCCUUGGCAGAAAUUGAGGUUGAAAAGGAAACACCACAAAAGCCUCUUGGCCUGCUGAUAAAAAGCAAAAGGAGAAUCAUCUUUCCUGGAAGCAGGCUACCAGACCUCACAGGUUAAAUAAGGCACAUUCACCAGACAGUAUUUCUUUCAGCACAGACGUGAGCAGCUACUGAGGACCGUGUUCUCUCUCCAGGGCCCACAAGGAGAAUUUGUAUGAAGGUAGGCAAAACUUCCCACACACCUACUCCUACGGUUUGUGGAAUUUAAGGAGGCAGAACCCCACAAAACAAACUCCAGAGGCACGGAAAUGAAACUCCCUCCCUCAGAGAAAACAUAUGUGGGAAAAAAAAAACCAAAACAUACCCUUGUUUCUUCUAGGCAGGUCUUUUUGUAAGCCUUGAGUUGAGCUUGACGCUAACUUAAAUAAAUGUGUGUAAGGCUGUAGCAUAAUAGUCACAAAAAUACACUCUGACAGGUUCCAAAUGAUCUGCCAUUAAACUACAAAAAGUAACUGGAAGUAACGCUGAUCAUGGGAAAUUUUACUUGGUGAACAGCUGUAUUUAAACAUCAGUGUACAGAAGGUAGAAAUGGAAAGUUAUGGCACGGUGUAUUUUAGUGUUGAUAUGUAAAGCGGAGGACAUCUCACUGUUGACUUGGAAAGUGUGUGUGAUUAGUCACUCUAGCUCAGAGUGAUGACUGCAGGCUUGGAGAGAAAUGAGAAACUUACCAGAAAUCUGCACAAAGUCCUGGAAAAUUCUCAUAAAAGGAGUGACUGAAGAAACUGGAAUUAUUGUAUCAAAUGAGAAAAUGCAGAGUUCAUUAUAAGAAAAGAUGAAUCUUCUGGAGAAAGAAGAUGAUUUAUGUGCUGCCCAGCUUGCAACAUGGAAAUAUUCCAGGGAGUUAAGGAGAAUUAUUUGAAAUUAAUAAUAGGAAUAAUUUUCAUGUACUGUGAUUAAUUAGCCCAUGAAUCUUGCUGUGAAGCUUCAAAGCCCAGCAGUAUUCCCAAAUGGCUUGACGUUUUUGUGAAUAACAAGACUACCCAGUUUAUUUAUAAUACGUGCUCAGAAGAGAGGUUGCAGAGUUUUGGAACAUGGAUGACUUGAAGCCCAUCUCAUUGUGAGGGUUCAGCUGAGACAAGUUCUUCCUCACCGCUUGUUGUAGAUGCUGCUGCUUCUUUGACAUCUGGUACAGAAAGGACGCAGCAGCUUCAAGAAAGAUUUCUAAAUGUGAGCAUGUCCUAUCUACAAAGGUUUGGGAGCCUACAGUCUUGAGGUGUCUCCUUUGCCCUCUUGGGCAUCCUUGAAGUGGCUUAAAGCAGAGUAGUCAUAACUCUGGUGCA
ensembl:lncRNA